UGUCACGUGACCGACCACUUGACACAACAGACGAAGGAACCGGAAAUGUAGCGAUUAUUCAUCCAAAAAUCCAUCAUGUGGAGUUUAAAUAGCACAAUAUAUGUUUUAUUGAGGACGUGGCUUGUUUGUGUUUCGCUUUUCUUCAGCCUCGGACUGGCUGGGAAAAUGAAGAUUGUGGAGGAGCCAAACACGUUCGGGCUGAACAACCCGUUCAUGGCGCAGGGAAACAGGCUGCAGCCCAAAGUCUCUCCAGCGCCUGUGUCUGGUAAAGUGAAAUGAUCUCAUUUGAACCCUGAGACAUUCUGAAGGUCUUAAACCUGGUCACUUUGGAA